CUUACGGGGAAAGAUUUAUCGCCGAAAGAUCGGCCCGCGUCUGAUUAGCUAGUUGGUGAGGUAAUGGCUCACCAAGGCGACGAUCAGUAGCUGGUCUGAGAGGAUGAUCAGCCACAUUGGGACUGAGACACGGCCCAAACUCCUACGGGAGGCAGCAGUGGGGAAUAUUGGACAAUGGGGGCAACCCUGAUCCAGCCAUGCCGCGUGAGUGAUGAAGGCCCUAGGGUUGUAAAGCUCUUUUGUGCGGGAAGAUAAUGACGGUACCGCAAGAAUAAGCCCCGGCUAACUUCUUGCCAUCAGCCGCGGUAAUACGAAGGGGGCUAGCGUUGCUCGGAAUCACUGGGCGUAAAGGGUGCGUAGGCGGGUCUUUAAGUCAGGGGUGAAAUCCUGGAGCUCAACUCCAGAACUGCCUUUGAUACUGAAGAUCUUGAGUUCGGGAGAGGUGAGUGGAACUGC
rnacentral:rRNA from 1 species